ACCAUCUAUCGAAGUUGGGUCCUAUAAAUUACUAUCAAACAGUGAAUGGAGCAACAGACAUCUAGCCAUAACUAAAAGAAAAAUAUAAGACCUCUAUGUUUAUGAAUUGAUUAAGCCUAAAGAAUUGGACUUUAGUCUAAAAGUUCUCCCAUUAUUUUGGUCGAAUUGGUAGCCUCUACCUCCAAUCCGAAGAAUUACUCUAAUUCCUUA
rnacentral:lncRNA from 1 species